GCCCUUAAAUAAAUUAAAGGUGUGACCUGCCCAAUGGUUUGAAAUUAAAAAAUUAUAAUAAAUUUUAAGAUUACUUAAAGGACGCGGUAUUUUGACCGUGAUAAUGUAGCAUAAUCACUCGCCACUUAAUUGGUGGAUAGUAUGAAUGGUUAAACGAAUAUAACACUGUCUCAAGUAAAGGAUUUAUAAAAUUGGAAUAAUAGUAAAGAUACUAUUUAUAAUUAUAAGACGAAAAGACCCUAUAGAGCUUAACUAUAUUCUUUUUAUAUUAAUUUUAAUAUAAGUUUACUUAUAAAAAUAAAAAGAUUGGUAGUUUAGUUGGGGCGACUGUUUUCUAUAAUAAACGAAAACAAACAAAAAUUAAUUAAAUAAUUUAUUGUAUAAUUAAUAUAUUUAACAAUUACUAUAGUAGGUAAUAAUGACCCGUUUUUUCUCACAAAAAAGAUAAACGAUUAAUAAAUAAAAGCUACCUUAGGGAUAACAGGAUAAUUUUAUUUUAGAGAUCUAAUCGAAAAUAAAGUUUGUCACCUCUAUGUUGAAUUAAGAUAUCCUAAUAAUGCAGAAGUUAUUAAAGGUAGGUCUGUUCGACCUUUAAAAUCUU
rnacentral:rRNA from 1 species